rnacentral:tRNA from 1 species
GCCUGGGUGGCUCAGUCGGUUAAGCGUCCGACUUCAGCUCAGGUCAUGAUCUCGCGGUUUGUGGGUUCGAGCCCCACGUCAGGCU